rnacentral:tRNA from 1 species
GUCAAGAUUGCCGAAUGGUUAAGGCGUCAGACUUAAGUUCUGGUCUUCGAAAAAGGCGUGGGUUCGAACCCCACUCUUGACA